rnacentral:rRNA from 1 species
CGGUGUAGCAAUACAUCGGUGGUCCUAGUGGCGCACGGGUGAGUAACACGUGGGUAACCUGCCCUCGAGCUCGGGAUACCCUCUCGAAAGGGAGGCCAAUACCGGAUACGUUCCUCGGAUUGCGAAGUCUGAGGAGGAAAGGUGGCGAAAGCUGCCGCUCUUGGAGGGGCUCGCGGCCUAUCAGCUAGUUGGUGAGGUAACGGCUCACCAAGGCUAUGACGGGUAGCUGGUCUGAGAGGACGACCAGCCACACGGGAACUGAGACACGGUCCCGACUCCUACGGGAGGCAGCAGUGGGGAAUUUUCCGCAAUGGGCGAAAGCCUGACGGAGUGACGCCGCGUGGGGGACGAAGGCCUUCGGGUUGUAAACCCCUGUCAGAGGGAAAGAAGGGUGUCGGCGCGAUAACCGCCGGCAUUUGACGGUACCUUCAGAGGAAGCCCCGGCCAACUCUGUGCCAGCAGCCGCGGUAAGACAGAGGGGGCAAGCGUUGCUCGGAAUCACUGGGCGUAAAGGGCGCGUAGGCGGGAUGGCAAGUCAGUCGUGAAAUCUCUCGGCUCAACCGAGAAACGUCGGCUGAUACUGCCGUUCUUGAGGGAUGCAGAGGAGACUGGAAUUCCCGGUGUAGCGGUGAAAUGUGUAGAGAUCGGGAGGAACACCGGUGGCGAAGGCGGGUCUCUGGGCAUCUCCUGACGCUGAGGCGCGAAAGCGUGGGG